rfam:Picea glauca, whole genome shotgun sequence.
ACAUGCUUACAACAUAGCGUCAAUGCAUUGGAUCCCAUUAGAACUCCACAGUUAAGCACUCUUAGGCUAGAGUAGUACUGGGAUGGGUGACCGCCCAAGAAGUCCUUGUGUUUUACAUGCC